GGCAGCGGCCCCUGGCGGCGGGGGGAUCGCGGCGCCGGCCGAGCGCUCUCCGGGUCAGGGCCGCCCCCAGUCGCUGACCACUCGCCUCCCUGGGCCCAGCCCGCAGCCCCAAGGCUCUAGGGCGGGAGCCUGGACUCGAACCGCGGCCCCUGGUGGACCCGGCUCAGCGGGGUCGGUGUGAGCGUAGAGACCCGCAGCGACGGGGGAUCUGUCAGUUAUCGAGGUCUCCACGGGUCACCCCCCAGUCAUGCCCCUUGCGAGCUGUGUGGCCUGCAAGGCUGGGCUCCCAUUUCACAGAAGGGAAACAACAGGACACAGAAGAUUGGCCUGACUUGCCUCAGUUGCUGGGUGCUGCACUGGACCAAGCCCUUCGCUCGCUCAGAUACACUCACUAAAGUCAGAACACAAAGAUUCUUUAUGAAUAUGUUGAACAGCCCUGGUCCCAGACCAGUACAAGCCCUUCAGGGGACACCACUAUUUACUUCUCUCCAUGCUGAAAAUGGACCAUUUAUUUCUACCCUUUGUUUCCUAACUUUUAACUGGAGUGCCUGGCAAUGUUUUCAGAAGAAGUGGGCUGUAGUCCACAAAAGCUUAUGCUCUAAUAAAUUUGUUAGUCUCUAAGGUGCCACAAGUACUCCUGUUCUUCUUUUUGCGGAUACAGACUAACACGGCUGCUACUCUGAAAACAAUGUUUUCAGGAUCAUCUAAUGAUCCUUCAUUUACUGUAAUGACAAGCCCUUUGUUAU